rnacentral:lncRNA from 1 species
CAUUUUUCAUUCAAUAGACUCACUCAUUUUAUAGGCACAAACGCUCACCGACACACCACUCAUCACGACCAUGGAUUGAAUUCUCAACACACAGCUAUAGAAAUAGAUGCUAAGGAGGAGGAGAGAAGGGAUUCGAUUAAAAAAAAUUGGUUCUCCUUCACAACCCGCACACACAGACACACCGAAUCACGCACACACUCCUUAUGAUACACUGAUUCAUAUGCAUAAUUGGAGAUGAUCGAAAGAGGAGUGAUGAGGGUUGAGGGAGAAACAUAAAUUAGGAAUUUGUGUUACUGUUCUGGCGACGGUCUCACCAGAAAAGCUUUGUUACUGCAUCGUUCAAGGUUUGUAUUUGUGUCAAUCGAGUCUGUCGAGCUCCGGUGCAGCUAACUCAAACCAAAACACGAUUCUAUCAUCUCGAGUGCAUUGUCCGAUCAAUUUCGAACGGAAAAUAGUCCUUUAUAUCGAUUCUUAUUAUCCGUUCAAUAUGGGGGUUCCGUCUGUCGUCGAAUUGUUUAGGUUUAGGCUUAUUUUUACUCUUGGGUAUUGAGAUUGGAAUUUCUUUAUUGGGAUUUCUGUUCAGAGGUUUGUUAUUUUCGUUCAAAAUUAUUGAUUCGGGGGGUAUAUUGAGUGGUGUUGCUACUUUCGAAUUUCUUCGGAAUGGGAUUUGCAAUAUUGAGCUGGUGUUAAUCAUUUUGAGGCUUUUGGUUGAGGAUUUCAGACUUCAGCUUUCAUCGAUUCAUUAUUAUCAGUGAAAAAUCUACUCUUUUGAGGUCCAAUUCUCUCCUCUCUCUUCUUUUAUUUUAAUUUCGAUGCGAUUGUGGAUGUGAUUCGAUCUCUCUGUCCUAUUAGUUUGGAUUGAUUUGGGUGAUGUUUGAUGUUGUUUGGUUUUGCAUAAUUGAUCUCAAUGGCAUAAAUGUGAUGAUAAUAUGAAUUUGGGUUUGUAUCAAAAAAGUAAUUUGGGAUGGGAAUUGAAAGAUUGGUAAAAUGAUUUUGGUUUAAUUUUUGAUUUAUUGAUUAUGUUAAUUUCAUCGAACAUGAUAGUAUCAUGUCUUAGGUUGGGCAUCGAUAGGCAAAUUCUAAGUUUUGGGGCAGGCAACUCAUAGGAUUCUAAUCAUCGAAUGUGUAAUUAUUUGUGUUGAGUGAUUUUCUUUAUUUUUAUCGCAUUUCAUUAAAUGUAUUUAUUUAGUCAGGGAAUGCCUCGAAGGUCAUUUGUAUUUAUUCACCAGGGAAUGCCCCAACGCAUUAUGUUGGCGGAAGAUGUUCGUGAUCAAGACCCAGGGCACCGGGUGGAGCGUAGUUUAGGAUUAAUGUAGGUUUACAUUUCAGUUCCUUCUAUUUUGGGUUUGUAAUAAUUGGACUGAACAUUAACUUUUGGAUUUUCGUUUGUUUGGUUUGGUUGUUUUAUGUGUUUUGUGGUUUAUACAUUUAUAAUGUCAUACUAGCCGAUAUGCUCCACCAAGCGACCGUGAUCGAACCACGAGAUCGAG